UUGCUAAAUUUCUACCGCCAAUGGGCCA
rnacentral:sRNA from 1 species